rnacentral:rRNA from 1 species
AUUGAACGCUGGCGGCAUGCCUUACACAUGCAAGUCGAACGGCAGCACGGGAGCAAUCCUGGUGGCGAGUGGCGAACGGGUGAGUAAUAUAUCGGAACGUGCCCAGUCGUGGGGGAUAACGUAGCGAAAGCUACGCUAAUACCGCAUACGAUCUAUGGAUGAAAGCGGGGGAGUCGCAAGACCUCGCGCGAUUGGAGCGGCCGAUAUCAGAUUAGGUAGUUGGUGAGGUAAAGGCGUCACCAAGCCGACGAUCUGUAGCUGGUCUGAGAGGACGACCAGCCACACUGGGACUGAGACACGGCCCAGACUCCUACGGGAGGCAGCAGUGGGGAAUUUUGGACAAUGGGCGCAAGCCUGAUCCAGCAAUGCCGCGUGCAGGAUGAAGGCCUUCGGGUUUAGGUAAA